UGAGUAACACGUGGGUGACCUGCCUUUUAGACUGGAACAACUUACCGAAAGGUGAGCUAAUGCCGGAUGAGUUAUAUAAGUGCAUGUUUAUAUAGGAAAAGUUGGGGAGACCUGACGCUGAAAGAUGGACUCGCGUCCCAUUAGCUAGUUGGUAGGGUAAUGGCCUACCAAGGCGACGAUGGGUAGCCGGCCUGAGAGGGUGGCCGGCCACACUGGGACUGAGACACGGCCCAGACUCCUACGGGAGGCAGCAG
rnacentral:rRNA from 1 species